UACGUACUGGCAUUGUUGGUUUCUCCCUUCUGACGAACCAUGAUGUCAUUUAUUUGGUGUUGUGGGGAAUCAGGACUGUUACUUUGAAAAAAUUAGAGUGUUUAAAGCAGGCUCACGCUUGAAUACAUUAGCAUGGAAUAAUGAAAUAGGACGUUUGAUUCUAUUUUGUUGGUUUCUAGGAUCGACGUAAUGAUUAAUAGGGAUAGUUGGGGGCAUUAGUAUUCAAUUGUCAGAGGUGAAAUUCUUGGAUUUAUUGAAGACUAACUACUGCGAAAGCAUUUGCCAAGGAUGUUUUCAUUAAUCAAGAACGAAAGUUAGGGGAUCGAAGACGAUCAGAUACCGUCGUAGUCUUAACCAUAAACUAUGCCGACUAGGGAUCGGAUGAUGUUAAUUUUUUAAUGACUCAUUCGGCGCCUUACG
rnacentral:rRNA from 1 species